rnacentral:rRNA from 1 species
GUCCACGCCGUAAACGAUGGGCACUAGGUGUGGCGGGUAUCGACUCCCGCUGUGCCGAAGCUAACGCAUUAAGUGCCCCGCCUGGGGAGUACGGCCGCAAGGCUAAAACUCAAAGGAAUUGACGGGGGCCCGCACAAGCAGCGGAGCAUGUGGUUUAAUUCGACGCAACGCGAAGAACCUUACCAGGGCUUGACAUGCACUGGAAAGCCGUAGAAAUACGGUCCCCCUUCGGGGCCAGUGUGCAGGUGGUGCAUGGCUGUCGU